UGUGGCUCAGUGGUAGAGCACUUGCCUAGCAAGUGUGAGGCACUGGGUUCAAUUCUCAGCA
rnacentral:tRNA from 1 species